CAUCUUGUUGACAACUUGUUGGAACAAGUCUGCUGCAGGUUUGUUACAACUUGUGCGUUGCUACGUGGAGCAAGGACUCGAGUACACAGAAUGAAGCCAAAUCUCGUAUUCAGAGUAAGCCCGUUCACAGGUUAGGUGCCGCUUCAAUCUCGUUCCUAGGUGCCAAGCACCUAACCUGCGAACAGGCAUACUCUGGGUACGAUAUUGAGUCAAGCCACGAUGGUGCUAUUGUUCCAGUCCCAAUUUCUACUGUUUUUGUCUGCGCAAGGCUAACUCAUAUCUAUGACUGACGUUCUUGCCUCAGAUAUACAGCUAAUUCAAUUAAGGUUGUCCUUUCAAAGUCAAAACCGCAAAACCUCGACCUCUAAGCGCGUAAGGCACGAUGGACAUGCAUACAGUAUGUGAUUGAUAGUCCGAGCACUCCGUAGUUACGCGGUUGCUACGUUCCACAAGCUGUUUAGGUAUCGGCAUUCCCGUUGAUUUUCACCUUUCUCGGAUUUUAUUUUCUCGUCCAACCCAAUUCAAUGGCAAACCUGGCGGAAUUCAUUGAAUUUUUAAACUUUUUAAUGUUUUAAAGCAAGUUGUUUGUGUGAUAUGCUUGACUCCUUUGAACAUUAGCACAAAUGUGACAUAAACAAUCUCAUGAUAAUGAUGCUUUUCGCGCUUAGAGGUCAAAGUUUGGGCAACUUUGAUACACCCUUUCGAUAAUUACGUCACAACUACACUGUUUUCAACUUAACUUAGGACUAGAAAGGAUUUCAAGGUUUUUUCUCAUGGACUAUCCACAGAGAAGCAGAACAUUCUUCUUCAACACAUGCAUGAAAAAGAAUUCUUUAUUUUGACCAGUAAAUGUGGAAAUAAGCUUUAACACGAAAACGAGGCUCCAGGUCAUGAUCUGGAGCCUCGUUUUCGUGUUAAUGCUUAUUUCCAUAUUUAUUGAUCAAAAUCCAAAUUUUUUUUCGCGCAUGUGUUGAAGGAUGUUCUGCUUCUCUGUGUAUUGUCCAUGAGGAAAAAAACUUGAAAUCCUUUCCAUUUAAGAUGGUCCUAAGUUGAAAACAGUGUAGUUGUGACGUACUUAUCGAAAGGGUGUAUUGAAUUAGUUGUAUAUAGUUCUCAUUGUUGAGAACUGGAAAUCAUAAGGAAUGGGACAAACCACUGGUCUUAAAACUAGAACUGGAUGGAGCCUCUGGAGCGUCGUUUCAGUGCGGGAAGUCAUCCGAAGACAGCGAAAGAUAUGAUACUCCCAGGUUGGAUUAAAUAAUGAACGCGUUCCUAUUAGGUACUGAAGUAAAAUUUGUCUCUGACUCUGUAAAAAGUGUUUUUGCGUCAAAAAAGUUGUUCGAAUAUAUUCCUUUGCUAUUCAAUGGUGGAAACGAGUUUUUAGAAACAAUUGAAAGCAUAUAACAGUUUCUAUUGGGUCAUCUCUAGCUACCACCAGAGCAUGCAUCAAUAGCCAUAAAUGUUUCGCUGCUCAUUCUGUAGUGAUGUGUAAAUAUAAAUAUACUAGUGAAAUUACAGUCGGUUUGACCACAAAACUAUUUUUAUUUUUCGUGCUUUUACACAGGGAAUACUCUGAUUUGUCGAGUCUCUUGGUUUUUUUCCAUGUUUGCUUCGCAAGUGAAAACUAAUCAUGGCCUUUUUUAACCAUAUUAC